AGAGUUUGAUCCUGGCUCAGAGCGAACGCUGGCGGCAGGCUUAACACAUGCAAGUCGAACGGGCGUAGCAAUACGUCAGUGGCAGACGGGUGAGUAACACGUGGGAACGUACCUUUUGGUUCGGAACAACUGAGGGAAACUUCAGCUAAUACCGGAUAAGCCCGUACGGGGAAAGAUUUAUCGCCGAAAGAUCGGCCCGCGUCUGAUUAGCUAGUUGGUGAGGUAAUGGCUCACCAAGGCGACGAUCAGUAGCUGGUCUGAGAGGAUGAUCAGCCACAUUGGGACUGAGACACGGCCCAAACUCCUACGGGAGGCAGCAGUGGGGAAUAUUGGACAAUGGGCGAAAGCCUGAUCCAGCCAUGCCGCGUGAGUGAUGAAGGCCCUAGGGUUGUAAAGCUCUUUUGUGCGGGAAGAUAAUGACGGUACCGCAAGAAUAAGCCCCGGCUAACUUCGUGCCAGCAGCCGCGGUAAU
rnacentral:rRNA from 1 species